GGAGUUAGCCGGUGCUUCUUCUGUGAGUGAUGUCCUUCCUGCCGGCUAUUAACCCGCAGGCCUUCUUCCUCACUGAAAGUGCUUUACAACCCGAAGGCCUUCUUCACACACGCGGCAUGGCUGGAUCAGGGUUGCCCCCAUUGUCCAAUAUUCCCCACUGCUGCCUCCCGUAGGAGUCUGGGCCGUGUCUCAGUCCCAGUGUGGCUGAUCAUCCUCUCAGACCAGCUACGGAUCGUCGCCUUGGUGAGCCGUUACCUCACCAACCAGCUAAUCCGACAUAGGCUCAUCCGAUAGCGCGAGGCCCGAAGGUCCCCCGCUUUCCCCCGUAGGGCGUAUGCGGUAUUAGCCUGGGUUUCCCCAGGUUAUCCCCCACUACCGGGCAGAUUCCUAUGCAUUACUCACCCGUCCGCCGCUCGCCACCAGGGAGCAAGCUCCCCGUGCUGCCGCUCGACUUGCAUGUGUUAGCGUCGCCGCCACGCGUCAUCUGAGCGAGGAUACAACUACUGA
rnacentral:rRNA from 1 species